rfam:Apis mellifera strain DH4 unplaced genomic scaffold GroupTn131, whole genome shotgun sequence.
GUCGGAUACGGCGACAUCUACCCCACGACCCCGCUCGGCAAGGUGAUCGGCAGUGUGUGUUGUAUAUGUGGUGUCCUGGUAAUCGCGUUGCCCAUUCCCAUUAUCGUUAACAAU